ACCCUUGUGGAGGAGGACGCCGAAGGUGGGGCUAAUGACUGGGGUGAAGUCGUAACAAGGUAGCCGUACCGGAAGGUGCGGCUGGAUCACCUCCUAACAGGGAGACAACAAAAUGUUUAAUAUUAUUAUUUUGUCACCUUAGGUCGAUCGGUAUCUCACAUUCUUAAUUUAUUAAGGAUUUCAUUUCCUAAGUUUUUUCUAGGUCACACCCAUUACUUUUCCUGGGCCAUUAGCUCAGGUGGUUAGAGCGCACCCCUGAUAAGGGUGAGGUCCCUGGUUCAAGUCCAGGAUGGCCCAUAUCUCUAUGUUGGGGGUAUAGCUCAGUUGGUAGAGCGCCUGCUUUGCAAGCAGGAUGUCAGCGGUUCGAGUCCGCUUACCUCCACUGAUUACCACCUCUUCCAUAAUUUUAUUUAAGGAAAUGUUUUGAGUAGUGAUCAAAUUCUGAACGAAUCUAGCUUCCUAAUGAAUUCAUUAAGAUGCUGGACUCAUUGAAUUAUUUUCAUUGUUUUCAGAGAACCUUGACAACUGCAUAGAUUAUUUUUAAAGACAAUAAGCAUCUUUAUGAUGCAGAUUUAUUAUUUGUGCGAAUGCAUUAAUAACAAUUCUAUUAAGCUGAUGCUUCAAUUAUGAAGUUAUUGGUCAAGCUACAAAGGGCUCACGGAGGAUACCUAGGCACACAGA
rnacentral:misc_RNA from 1 species